CGGAAGUCUCCUGGUCACGCCUCUCUCCUUGUCCGUCUCUCUAAUUCUUCCCAACACCGGGUCGGCCAAGGUUAAGUGGUUAAGUUCCGCAUGCCGUGCAGCAGAUUAAAUAAAGUUUUCUUCUCACAGGUUUCUGUUCCCCGAGGCCGGAAAUGCUUCCCAAGAAGCAAGACUACAAAAGGCACUCCGGCUUCCUGCGAAGCAACUGGAAAUGAACACCUACUAAGGGUGCUCCCGAGGCGGCCCUUGAGGCGACCCGGAAGCGGAAGUGGAAGAAAGUUCUAGUGGGCUGAGGUAGCCGCGGGAGCAGCCGGGUGGCG